GUCAAACUGAGAAGGUGAGUCUGGCAGUCAUGUUUUCUUAUAACAUUUUGUCGAAAGGUUAUUUGUGUAUGCUAGAUAGAAACUACUGGACUAGAUUACUUAAUGAUAUUUGUGUAACCUUUUUAGUUGCCCCAGGACACAAAAAGAAAGGCCACCUUCUCCUGUGCCCAGUGUGAUGUCCAUGAGGAGUGACAGGUCAAAGGGCACGCCAAAGGAUCUUAAAGAACAGGAGGUCACAGAGAAUGUCAUGGAGAGACCAGACUCCCCUUUGUCCAGUGUGUCUGUGAGGAGUGAUGCAUCCAGAUUCAUCAGACCAGACGUCACAUGGGAAGGAUCCAGGUACACAUACUGUAUUAAUAACCAGUGAUGGGACUAAUGCAUUAUCAAGUCAUUUGAUUACAGUAAACUCAUUACAUUUACAUGAACCAAGUAGGGAAGCACAUUAAAUUUCUAAUAUUUGUAAUUACAUUACAGUUACACACCACUGUAGAAUGUACUGUAGUUACUUAAAUACUAAUUUUCUAGGUAGAUAAAUACGUUUAUUCCAAUCUGCCUACACUGUUGGUGUCAUAUUGUACACACUAAGGAUGUUUAUCGCCAGCACCGCCAGCAGACCGAUGCACUGAUGAUGGAGAUAAUUGUGGCACUAUAAUCAGGAUAUGAACUGAGUGUCAGUAUUGUAGAUGUGGACUGAACCUUCCAGAAGGUAAUGACGUGUCAUCAUACAGUACUUAUCUUCUCAACUGAGUAUGAAAAAAAACUCAGUACACAAAUUAACUAAAGCAAUUGGUCACAGCACUUUGGUCGACGUGAGUUGUUUUUAAAAUGUGCUUUAUAAAUAUAUUUCAUUUGACUUGACUAAAGAUGAUUAAGUCUAUUUACUGUUUCGAAUAAGUAAAGACAAAAUAUAUUAUUAUAAUCUAACGUAACACAAAUAAUACAGCGCUGUGAAAAGUAUUUGACCCUUCCCGAUUUCUUCUAUUUUUGCUUAUUUCUCACAUUUAAAUGUUUCAGAUCAUCCAACUUAUUAUAAUAUAAGACAAAGACAACAUGAGUUAAUGCUAAAUGUAAAAUACAGCGGAUUCUAGACCUUACAAAACCGUCGUAACCAUCAUAAUCCAUGUUUCGGAGACAUAACACUAAAUAUAUUGUAUAGCUAUUUCUUUGUAGGAACAAUGCAUUUGGGGAAGAUGUUGAGGUCAACAACAAACAAAAAAAGAAGUAUAAUGUAAUGUGAAAGUAAGACAUGCCCUAAAUGUAGUGUAAGCAUCACUGUAAACGGUAUCAAUACGCGGCUCUAUAGUAAAACAUAGCGCCGCAUUACUACACAUAAAAUAGUUCCUUGAAUAUAACACAAAGACACAUAU
rnacentral:lncRNA from 1 species